GAAGACCUGUAAAACUUUUAUUUACAUCUCCUGAAUGCAACUCAGACACUUUCACUAAGCUAAGGCCUC
rnacentral:tRNA from 1 species